rnacentral:rRNA from 1 species
CGCAAGCCUGACGGAGCAAGACCGCGUGGGGGAGGAAGGCUCUUGGGUUGUAAACCCCUUUUCUCAGGGAAGAACCAAAUGACGGUACCUGAGGAAUCAGCCUCGGCUAACUCCGUGCCAGCGGCCGCGGUAAUACGGAGGAGGCAAGCGUUAUCCGGAAUGAUUGGGCGUAAAGCGUUCGUAGGUGGCUAUUCAAGUCUGCUGUCAAAGACAGAAGCUCAACUUCUGAAAGGCAGUGGAAACUGAGUAGCUGGAGUGCGGUAGGGGCAGAGGGAAUUCCCGGUGUAGCGGUGAAAUGCGUAGAGAUCGGGAAGAACACCGGUGGCGAAAGCGCUCUGCUGGGCCGCAACUGACACUGAGGGACGAAAGCUAGGGGAGCG